rnacentral:tRNA from 1 species
GAUCGCGUGGCGCAAUGGAUAGCGCAUCUGACUACGGAUCAGAAGGUUGGGGGUUCGACUCCUCCCAGGUUCACAA